AUACGGAGGGUGCAAGCGUCACUCGGAAUCACUGGGCGUAAAGCGCGCGCAGGCGGCUUGAUAAGUUGGAUGUGAAAGCCUACGGCUCAACCGUAGAACUGCAUCCAAAACUGUCAGGCUAGAGUGUGGGAGAGGAAGAUGGAAUUAGUUGUGUAGGGGUAAAAUCCGUAGAGAUAACUAGGAAUACCGAAAGCGAAGGCAAUCUUCUGGAACACUACUGACGCUGAGGCGCGAAGGCGUGGGGAGCAAACAGGAUUAGAAACCCUAGUAGUCC
rnacentral:rRNA from 1 species